AACGUAGGUGGCAAGCGUUAUCCGGAUUUACUGGGCGUAAAGGGUGUGCAGGCGGGGUUGCAAGUGGUGUAUGAAAUCUCCCGGCUUAACCGGGAGGGGUUAUGCCAGACUGCAAUUCUAGAGGACGAGAGAGGGGGGGUGGAAUUCCGGGUGUAGUGGUGAAAUGCGUAGAGAUCCGGAGGAACCCCAGAGGCGAAGGCGGCCCCCUGGCUCGUACCUGACGCUCAGCCACGAAAGCAUGGGGAGCGAACGGG
rnacentral:rRNA from 1 species